rnacentral:lncRNA from 1 species
UGUCUUCGAGAGAGACUUGCCCGGUGUGCUGUAACUAACCGUUGUUAGACUCCUUUGUAAUAUUAGCAUUGUGCAGAAGUUCUCUGCUUCUUAUCAUGAAAGAUCAUUUUCAAAUGAAGUUCAUUUAUCGUGCCUACACAUUCCCUUCUAAACAUAAUGCUUCAAGCUGAACCACGAAAGAGGUGGGUAUAAGAGGCCACAGACUGUGUGCUUUUUGUUUACGUGAAAUCUCCAGAGACAAGGAAACUGUUGCGGCUUUAAAGCCGAAAGGUGGCUGGAAGGGCCAGAGGCUCGGAAACUGGUACCGUGGCAUUUGGCUUGCAGACGUGUGUCUAUGCACUACAUGCAUGUCUGGUGCCCAAGGAAGCCGGAAGAGGUUGCCCGAUCUCCUGGAACUGGAGUUACAGACAGUUAUGUCCUGCUAUGUGGAUGCAGGGAAUUAAGACCAAGUCGUCUAGAAAAGCAGCCACUGCUCUUAAGUACUGAGCCAUGUCUCCACCCCCUAGAAGAACUCAAGUUCAGGUUCUACCACCCAUGUGGUAGGUUGCACAUAACCAUCUACAAAUGAGUUUCAGAAGAUCCAACAUCCUGUUCUGGCCUUCACCAGGUUCUUCUACAAUAGGGUGUUGGAAAGAGAAGUCUGCAUUUAAGGUUUGCUUUCUAAGAUGAGAGAACUUUUUUUGUGGCUGAUCUAUGACACAGCUAUCAGAUGUGGGCGCUGGAAACUGAGCCCAGGUCCUCUCCAAGUGCUCUCAACCACUGAAGCACGUCUCCAGGCCUGGCUGCCAAGCCUGCUUGAUUGAAAGCAUGAGGAUAAAUGUCCCAGCUCUUGAUGCCUGAGUCAUAGAACCAACCCUGGAUACCCUCCUUAUGUGAUAACUACCUCUGUCCUUGAAUCAUUUUCAAUUAGUUACUCUUCUUUACAGCAGAAACUAUCUCAGCUAAAACAGUGACCAAGAGCCAGGUGGACAUGUCUUUAAUCCCAGCACUCAGGAAGUGGAGCCUGGUCUACAGAGUGAGUUCCAGGACAGCCAGGGUUACACAGAGAAACCCUGUCUCCAAAACCAAUUAAUUAAAACAUAAAACAGUG